GCCGAGUUGGUUCGGUCUAGCGGAUACCAGUCUUAAAACUUAUUCCUAGACCCUGGGGUUCGAUUCCCCAAAUCGGCA